rnacentral:rRNA from 14 species
GUGCCUUAAGGGUGUUC